CGCUAAGAGAUGGAAGGAAUUGAGCGGCAAUAGCAAAUGGAAAGACCUGCUUGAUCCUCUUGACUUGGAUCUACGCCGUUACAUCCUCCACUACGGCCACAUGGUUGAAGUCGGGUACAUCACCUUCAAUUAUGGCCGCCGGUCCAAAUACGUAGGAGAUAGCUGCUACACCAAGGAAGAGCUAUUUGCUCGUACCGGUUACCUUAAAGACAACCCUUUCAGGUGAAAACUUAUCUACUUGUAUCAUACGGCUUGAGGAAUUUUGGUUAAAUUUAUAUUCCUAUACCUCUAUAUAAAAAAUGUCCCAGGUACGAGGUGACUAAGUUCAUAUAUGGAACAUCGUCGAUAAAGUUACCAGAAUGUUUCAUGAUCAACUCAUGGUCAAGGGAAGCAUGGAACAAAGAGUCUAACUGGUUAGGUUAUGUCGCGGUGGCUACAGACGAGUGCAAGGAGUUGUUAGGGAGAAGAGACAUUGUUGUAGCAUGGCGAGGGACUAUUCAACUGUACGAGUGGGCUAACGAUUUUGAUUUCCCACUUGAAUCAGCUAUCUCGGUUUUAUUUAUUUUCUAACCCAGUAUAACGUGCGUAUAUACACUUUAAAGCCUUCAACAUAAGGCAAAACUUAUGUGAAUGUUGUGUAUUCAAGACCAAUACUUCACGCAUUAAUUAUCCAAACAUUUUUGAAAACUCCAACAAAUUUUACAAGGCCACAAAGAGGAGCGGGGGAGGAAGAUUGGAUUCAGAAAGAAAAGUGAAAAUGGUGGAAGAUAUCGCUAAGAGAUGGAAGGAAUUGAGCGGCAAUAGCAAAUGGAAAGACCUGCUUGAUCCUCUUGACUUGGAUCUACGCCGUUACAUCCUCCACUACGGCCACAUGGUUGAAGUCGGGUACAUCACCUUCAAUUGUGGCCGCCUGUCCAAAUACGUAGGAGAUAGCUGCUACACCAAGGAAGAGCUCUUUGCUCGUACCGGCUACCUUAAAGACAACCCUUUCA
rnacentral:lncRNA from 1 species